rnacentral:lncRNA from 1 species
UGACUUAGAUCAGAUGACCUGCAGAGUUUGAAAAUGUUUUGCAUUUGGCUGUCUACAGAAGAAAUUUGGCAAUCCUUGGCCUAGAUGAUUCAGAAAAGUCCUUCCAUCUUGAUGCUUCCAAAAACAUGCAUUUAUUCCUUUAUUCAGAUGGAUGUCAGAGAAAUGAUGAUCAAAGAGCAUAAAUCUUUGAGGAGUGAUGGAGAGCGACCUCCGGAGGCCAGUGGAUGAACUGUCAUAUGGACAAGUCUGGUGAUAGGAAACUCAAAUCUGGUUAAGAGUCUAUGGGCAGUCCUAAGGAGAAAGAAAGACACCACCUAACUACAGGCAUGACGUGAGUAUUUUAUUGUUUCCAUGAAACUCUUUACAUUAUUAUAAAUUUCAAACCUUGUAUACCCCUAGUAAGUGUAGCCAUGCCAACCUUUUGUCACAAUGAAAAUGAAAAGAAAAUGCACGGUUUUCUGAAUACACAGGU